rnacentral:lncRNA from 1 species
UCAAUAGAAACCCAAAAUUCCCUUGGACUUUUUAGAAUUAAGCAAUCACACAAAUGCACAAUUAUACCAAUCUUGAAGGGCAAAUGCAUCAAAUAAAUAUGGCCUCAUCCUAGCUUAUCCACUUCAAUGAUCUUCUUCAAAAUAGCCUAUGUAGCAGAUGAAUUCCACAAGUCACAGGUUCAACAUGACAGCUUAAUAAUGAUCAAUGUUGCAGAUGAAUCUGGAGAGAUCUAGAAUGAUGUAUAAGGUGAAUUCAAAU